AAGACCCCACCGCCGGAUUUUUUUUUCCACUUUUAGAAAUAUUUCUAUCGCAGCGAUAUACGUUUAAGUGCGGAGGAAAAAGCGACCUAUCUGUUACAGUUGAGUCCAAGUUUUGGAGCAUUUACCAAAACUGUAGAAUUCAAUAAGCGCGAAUUCAAAACCGGGUCAGAUGGAUGGUUAUUACUGUGUGCUGGUAAGUGGUGUAAGGAAAUUGUCAGGAUUGGACUCGACAUCUCUACAUUCGGCUCGAAAUGGCAUCGACACAGGUUCAUUCACAAAUUCACGAAAAUAAAUACC